GCCCGCGCGCACCCGGCCGGCGCGUCCACACAAAGCGGGGCGCGCGGAGCAGGGCCGCGCCGGGAGCCGCCCGCCGGCCCCGGGGCGCAGGGCGCGAGUGUGCGCGGGGCCGGGCCGCGCGCGGGACACAAAAGGGAAUGGACGCGCGGGGGCGGCGGGCGGGGAGCCGCGGCCCCACCGAAGGGACCCCCGGCCGCCGAGCGGCCUCUACGUCAGCGCCCCGGGUGGCGCCGCCUCCGCCCGCCGGCCUGGGCCGCCGCUCCCGCCGAGGGAAGGCGGGCCGGGGACCGCGGGGAGAAGACUCCAGCAGUGCCUGGGACGUGCUCAGCAUCAGCUCUAGGCGGUGACCACUCCACCCUCCGCACUUGCAGGGACACUUCGGCACUGCCGCUCCACAGACAGUGUUUGAAACUCUACAAUAGACAUACUACGUUUGAAACACACGAGAUCCGUAAGAGCUGUUUCACCAAAGAAAACAAAAAACGGUGAACCAGAAUGCUCGACCAGCGGCUGGGUGAGCGACGCGGACCGCCGCGGGGCGUGGACGGUGCGCACGCACCGCCAGCGCAGGUGGAGAGGAGGCCGGAAGGGCUCACUGCUCCGCCCCGAGCUGUCCCAAGCACAAGCCGGAAGCACUCACGGCCCCGCCCCGCGCACAAGCCGGAAGCGGGCCACGGCCCCGCCCCGUUCUAAGCACAGGCCGGAAACGGCCCCGCCUCUCGCACAAGCCGGAAGCGUCUACGACCCUUUCCCGAACCGCGCAGAAUCCGGAAGCCCUCACGGCACCGCUCUGCGCCGUCCAGCGCACAGGCCGGAAGCAACUCGCGGCCCCGCCCCGCACAGAAGCCGGAAGCGCACACGUCCUUUUCCCGCCCCGCGCAGAGGCCGGAAGCGCUCACGGCCCCGCCCCAACCCGCCUGAAGCUGGGGCCGGAAACAGUGGUGGCUGCGUCCCUCCCCUUGUAUAGACCGGAAGCGCCCAGCUCCUCAGACUGGGGAGGUGGAUUUCUGUCCCGUUUCUCUAAGCGCCGCGGCGGGGCUUGUCCCCAUUGCUGCCGGCUGUGCGACCCUAGGGACGCCACAGCUGCGGGCGGUCAGAGUCGUGUGGCCCCCGCAGGGUCGGCCCUGGAGGGUGGUGGGCCCAAGGGCGCGAGGUGCACCCGGAGAAAACCACAAUGAAGGGUGGGUCUGGUCAGUAGGGACAGUAAUACACGUGCUUCUAUCGGGAUCUGGUGCGUUUCUUCCUUGGGCUUCUUUCUCCACGUUCAGUCCCGCUUCCCAGCAUGGGGACGAGGAUGACAGCGCGAGUCCCUUCGGGCUGGAGACCGUAACCCCCUCGCAGAACAGUUUUGAAUUGCACCCACUCUAGCGAGCUCUCAGGCAGCUGUUGAGCUUUUUAAUUAUGUAAGUCCACUCCCCCACUGCCCCUCGCCCCCGACACACGCGUGGACUCAAAGUCAGGAUCCCCAGACCUCGUCCUCGCACCGAGAAGGCCUGGUGCCUGCGGUAGCGGUCCCAACUUGAAUUAAGUCUCAGUAACAUCUGUUGCUACAAGAAAUUUAAAAGCGACACCGUACUUUAUACUAAAAGAAUAAAGAUUUUUAUUAAGCAUUGUAAGUUGCAUUCAAUAGCCUUCGAUACACCACGCCACAACCCACCUACAAUCAGUCAGACCCAACAGCAGUUCAUUCUUGCACAAUCCAUGAGUUAGGGCAGAACUCCCUUCAACUUACAGUAAGAUCCUACUCAGGUCUUGCGGGCAGGGAUUGGGGAAUUACAUCUCAUUUCUGAUCACUAAUGUGUGAUGAAGAGCAUCAGGAGAAUUAUAUGAAAACGAAUAAGAAGUGAUUCUGAUUUCAAAGUACAUUGUUUGGAAACAUUAACAAAAACAUCAAAAUGAUAUAAGUAUACCUGCUUCUACUAAAUUCUUGAUGGGAAAGUUCUCAAGAACAAGCAAUUUGUUUCCUGCUACAGAAGGGGGGGUUGUUUUUUUUGUUUUUUUUUUUUUUAAGAUCAAAGGGAUUUUUUUUUUGUUUUUCACAGAAUUUCAUAUUUUGCUAAUAUGAAGGCAUAAAACAGCAA